CUGGAAGAUACUGUAGGCUACAUGGCUACAGGUCUCAAACUUCCUCUCCCAGAAGUUGGUGCAGGUCAUCCUUAAACAGAGGAGCGACGACCCGUUUGACACGGUGAUGUCGGUAGUGCCAUCUACUAAGAAUGAGAAAACCCUGAAGAAGCUUUCGGAGGAGGGGUAUGACGAUGGAUCGAAGCCAUCGCAGGUUCUCAGCAUCAACGAGGGUGACGUCAUCGAAGUUGGUUUCCGUGGCAACAUUAAGAGCAAAAGGCGAGGAGGGGAUACAGUUUGUGUACAACUCCAAUCUGGAGAGCGAGACUGAAUUCCAUGCCGCUGAGGUGGACUUAUACCUACCAAGAAACUUCCCAGUAUAUAGGGGUGUCGUCGAGGUAGGUUUGUGUACUUCCCAGUACAUAGGGGUGUGUUCGAGGUAGGCUUGUGUACUUCCCAGUAUACAGGGGUGUUGUCGAGGUAGGCUUGUGUACUUCCCAGUAU